rnacentral:rRNA from 1 species
GGCGGCGUGCUUAACACAUGCAAGUCGAACGGGAAAUAUUUCAUUGAGACUUCGGUGGAUUUGAUCUAUUUCUAGUGGCGGACGGGUGAGUAACGCGUGGGUAACCUGCCUUAUACAGGGGGAUAACAGUCAGAAAUGGCUGCUAAUACCGCAUAAGCGCACAGAGCUGCAUGGCUCAGUGUGAAAAACUCCGGUGGUGUAAGAUGGACCCGCGUUGGAUUAGCUUGUUGGUGGGGUAACGGCCCACCAAGGCGACGAUCCAUAGCCGGCCUGAGAGGGUGAACGGCCACAUUGGGACUGAGACACGGCCCAGACUCCUACGGGAGGCAGCAGUGGGGAAUAUUGCACAAUGGGGGAAACCCUGAUGCAGCGACGCCGCGUGAAGGAAGAAGUAUCUCGGUAUGUAAACUUCUAUCAGCAGGGAAGAUAGUGACGGUACCUGACUAAGAAGCCCCGGCUAACUACGUGCCAGCAGCCGCGGUAAUACGUAGGGGGCAAGCGUUAUCCGGAUUUACUGGGUGUAAAGGGAGCGUAGACGGUGUGGCAAGUCUGAUGUGAAAGGCAUGGGCUCAACCUGUGGACUGCAUUGGAAACUGUCAUACUUGAGUGCCGGAGGGGUAAGCGGAAUUCCUAGUGUAGCGGUGAAAUGCGUAGAUAUUAGGAGGAACACCAGUGGCGAAGGCGGCUUACUGGACGGUAACUGACGUUGAGGCUCGAAAGCGUUGGGAGCAAACAGGAUUAGAUACCCUGGUAGUCCACGCCGUAAACG